CCUACGGGUGGCAGCAGUGAGGAAUAUUGGUCAAUGGACGAGAGUCUGAACCAGCCAAGUAGCGUGAAGGAUGACUGCCCUAUGGGUUGUAAACUUCUUUUAUAAAGGAAUAAAACGAGGCACGUGUGCCUUUUUGCAUGUACUUGGUGAAUAAGCAUCGGCUAACUCCGUGCCAGCAGCCGCGGUAAUACGGAGGAUCCGAGCGUUAUCCGGAUUUACUGGGUGUAAAGGGAGCGCAGGCGGCGCGUUAAGCCCGGUGUGAAAGCGCGCGGCCCAACCGCGGCAGUGCAUUGGAAACUGGGGGGCUUGAGUGGGGGAGAGGUAGGCGGAAUGCGUAGUGUAGCGGUGAAAUGCGUAGAUAUUAGGAGGAACACCAGUGGCGAAGGCGGCCUACUGG
rnacentral:rRNA from 1 species